rnacentral:rRNA from 1 species
ACUCAAAGGAAUAGACGGGGGCCCGCACAAGCAGCGGAGCGUGUGGUUUAAUUCGACGCACCACGAAGAACCUUACCCAGGCUUGACAUGCAGCUGCACGCAGGGGAAACCCUGUUCCUUCGAGGGUGCUGCACCGGUGCUGCAUGGCUGUCGUCAGCUCGUGUCGUGAGAUGUUGGGUUAAGUCCCGCAACGAGCGCAACCCUUGCUCCGUGUUAGACCUGUCACGGGGGACUGCCGCUGGGUUCCAGCGGAGGAAGGCGGGGAUGACGUCAAGUCCGCAUGGCCCCUACGCCUGGGGCGACACACACGCUACAAUGGCCGGAGAAGCGCGCUGCAACUCGGCAACGGGAAGCUAAUCGCGAAGGCCGGUCUCAGUGCAGAUUGGGGGCUGCAACUCGCCCCCAUGAAGGCGGAGUUGCUAGUAACCGCGUGUCAGCAGAGCGCGGUGAAUACGUACCCGGGCCUUGUACACACCGCCCGU